GAAAAGUCAUAAAACCAAAAACCAUUCUCUCUCGCUCGCUCUCAUAAUUCAGACUCCUCGCAAAACCCAAAAUCAUAAAACGACAAAAAACCAACCCCUAACCCUAGAUUUCCCGGAUGGCCAGUGAAGCCCAAGACUCGCAUCGCAAACACCGCCGGGCCUCUUCCUCCGACGACGAGGCCGAGAAGUCGUCGAAGCGCCACAAGCACCGUCACCACCAUCGCCACCACCGUCACCGUCAUGGCAGCAAAAAGCGCGAAGGCGAUGUCAAGCCGGCCGUUGACGAUGUUGAAGCUCCUCUGGCUGCUGUUCUGUUAUCUUCUUCAGGUGCCAAUAGUUCUAGGCCAGAUGAAGACGUGGAGGAAGGCGAAAUUCUCGAGGAGGAGGGUGUCGGUGGUCACGACGACGGCGUCUUGAAGACGACAGCCGGCUCUGAUGCCGAGUCUGGUGAAAUUGAGGCUCUUGGAAUUCGCGAUCAGUCUGAUAAUCGAAAUCUGGGAAUUUUUGUCGAUAACAUUGAUAAUAAUUCAAAAACCAUGAGAGAGCACUGUAGUGACGAUGAUACUCGAAUUCAUGUUGGUGGCAAGUCUCGGGAUGAGACUGGGUUGCCCAGACAUUCCAGUAUCGAGCCUCAAGAUGAUUUAGCUUCUAGAUUAGGCAUAGAGGAUCAUGCCAAUGGCAAUUCCCACCGGUUUCACAAAGAGGAGAAGAGGCGGCACAGGGAAUCUGGGUUGCCUUCUAAAGAAAGUGAUAAGCGAAAGCAUUACUAUGAUGAUGAAAAAGUGGAUGAUAAUAGAAGCAAAGUAGCUAAUCGAAAAAAGCCAUCCUCUGGAAGUAGUGGAGACAAGCACAAGACCUUGGUACGUUCACCAUCUCGUGAUAGGUGCGGGGAUGAUUUACAUGGUAGGAGCAGAUCGAGGUCAUAUGAUCAUGUGAGGGAGAGAUCAUGCUCCCGCAGUAGAGUAGAAGAGGAGGCCCUUUCUAAAAGGAGACGUUAUCAAGAACGAGACACUGCAGUAUCUGUAGAGAAAAGUAAGGCUACGUUCGACUCUGGUGAUGAAGGAGUGGUUCGGAGGCAUGACAGUGACGAUUUGGCUAGGGAUGAUGAACGAGAACAGAGUAUUAGUUAUAGCAGAUACUCUGUAUCCGAUCGUAGCAGAGAGAGAGAGAGGAGUAGGGAGAGGGAGGUGGAUAGGAUUCAGAGAAGGGAGAAAGAACAAGAAAGGAGCAGAAAUAAGGAUCGGAGAAGGGAUGGAGAAAGAGAAAGGAGUAGUGACAGGGAUUUGGUUAGGGACAGGAAAAGGGGAAUUGGACGAGACAAUAGCAGGGAAAGGAGAAGAGAAGAGCGACAUAGGAGCAGAGACAUGGAGAACAGGGACAGAAAAAGGGAGGAAGAAAACAAUAGGAGCAGGGACCGGAUCAAGGCUGAUAGGGACAGAGAUAUGGAGAGGGAUCGAGAUAGGGACAGAGUUACAGACCGGAAAUGGGAGAGGCGAGAUGAUAGAGACAGGGAUAAGGGUCGAGAUAUGGAGAGGGAGAAAUAUGAAAAUCUUGAAGACAGCUAUGGAAAUCGAGAUAGGAAUAAACAUUCUGGUCGAUCAAGGCAUGAUGAAAAAGAAUACAACCAGGACAGAACAAGAAAAACUGAUCCAGCAAAGGUUCAGAGUUCAAACAGUUAUGCUGCAGAAGGGAUUGAAGACAUACCAAAAAGAGGUGAAGAUGAACAAGAAGACAAUGAAGAGAGGGCCACUUUUCAAUUUGCUGAGCAGGAAGAGGAAGAUCUGAACAGGAUCAAGGAGGAGAGUCGAAGAAGAAGGCAAGCGAUCUUAGAAAAAUACAGAAAUCAGCAGUCACAGCAAACAAAUGAGUUACAAAAAAAUGAGUCACAGUUACAACAACGAAUUGAGCCUCAGCCUCUUUUGGAGGGUGUGGAGAAAGACAAAGAUCCUCAAGAUCAUGCGACCGAAUCAGCUGGUGUUGCCAAAUCUGGUGCAGAAACUGAUGAUGGCAGGAGUGAUGAAGAUGUGUCUCUUGCUGUAUUUUCAAUUUCACCUCAGCAAAAUGGUGAUGUUGCUUCUAGGAUGACGUCUGGUGCCACUGGGCUUGGAGAGGGUACUCCAAAGAGUGAAAGAUCUGAUGUCAUUUUCUGUGAUGAUAUCUUUGGUGAGACCCCAGUUGGAGUUAGAAAAUCGGGCAAAGGAGAUGGUGUUCGAAUUGAAAGGAGUGGUCUUCAUGACAACUGGGAUGAUGCAGAAGGGUACUACAGCUACCGGUUUGGGGAACUACUUGAUGCCCGAUAUGAAAUUACUGCUGCUCACGGAAAAGGUGUCUUUUCAACCGUAGUUCGUGCAAAGAACCUUAAAGUCGGUAAUGGUGAACCCGAUGAAGUGGCAAUUAAGAUUAUACGUAGCAAUGACACUAUGUACAAGGCUGGUAUGACAGAGUUGGCCAUAUUGAAGAAAUUAGUAGGUCAAGAUCCAGAAAAUAAGCGCCACUGUGUUCGUUUUCUAUCAAAUUUCAAGUAUCGAAAUCAUCUUUGUUUAGUUUUUGAAUCUCUUCAUAUGAAUCUCCGUGAGGUCUUAAAGAAGUUUGGGCGCAAUAUUGGUCUUAAGCUAACUGCUGUGAGAGCAUAUGCCAAGCAACUUUUUAUUGCACUGAAGCAUCUAAAAAACUGUGGUGUUCUUCAUUGUGAUAUAAAGCCAGAUAACAUGCUGGUAAAUGAGGCUAAAAAUGUGCUGAAGCUUUGUGAUUUCGGUAAUGCCAUGUUUGCUGGAAAGAACGAAGUUACACCGUACUUAGUCAGCCGCUUUUACCGUGCCCCUGAAAUAAUUCUUGGCUUGUCUUAUGAUCAUCCAUUGGAUAUCUGGUCAGUUGGUUGCUGUUUGUACGAACUCUCUACCGGAAAAGUUCUUUUUCCUGGUGCUACAAACAAUGAUAUGCUACGUCUUCACAUGGAAUUGAAAGGGCCAUUCCCAAAGAAGAUGCUUCGGAAGGGAGCAUUUACCCAUCAACAUUUUGAUCAGGAUCUGAACUUCCAUGCCACAGAAGAUGAUCCUGUUACAAAGAAGACUAUCAAACGGGUGAUUCUCAAUAUAAAGCCAAAAGAUAUUGGAUCGAUUAUUACAGGUUCUUCUGGUGAGGAUCCAAAGAUGUUGGCCGAUUUUAAAGAUCUUUUAGAUAAAAUGUUUGUGUUGGAUCCAGACAAGAGGUUGACAGUAUCACAAGCUUUGAGCCAUCCAUUCAUCACUGGCAAGUGAACCCUGUUGCUGAUUUUCUGACUCCAGAAUUCCUGUUCCGCUAGAUAUUUGUACAUUUUGACCUAAUUCAUACAGUUUCUAAUCAUUGGGCAUUAUCUCUCUUCUCUGUGAUGGCCUGAGAGCUUUGACACAGUUUUGGCAUGGUUGAAGUCAAAAGGGGUGAUGUUUUUUCAGGAGUACUCAUUACUGGCGGGUUCUUUCAGUGGAGUGUACUGUUUCUAUUGAUAUGUGCCAUUGCUUUGAGGCAACACUCCAGUGCUUAGAUGCUUAAAAGGAACCCAGGAGAAGGUACCUUGGUUUGUUUAUUGGGAGAAUAUUGUGAGGGACUUGAAAGUAGAUGUCACUGUGUUGCAUGAUUUGUCUUUAUGUUGUUCCUACAUAAAAGCUUCUUUGUAAACUUGGAAAUUUAUUCAAGCUGAAUCUAACAGUGUCACUGCCAUAGAUUUGAUAACUUUUUAUAAUAGUCUUUUUUCUUUUUUCUGGGUGUUUUCUAUUUGGUUUGCUUUUGAGAUUGUGAGAGUUGUUAAUUUGUUUAUUUACUAUAGUAUUAGUUAUCCGGAAAGUGUAGGUGCAUGUACAUGCAUUCUGAAAUAUGCUGUGGUUUUUCUGGAACAUGGGUCAAUUGAUGACUUGUACCUCGCCAUGUUUGUUUUCUUAGGUGUCAAACUAAAUCCAUGUAAUUGUAUUCUGGCAUGUAUGUUUUGUCGGUCUUUGUCUGGGCUUGAGGGUUUUCUAUGUUACUUCUUUUUGUUUGUCUUACAUUCAAAAUAUGCAUAUCCUAAUGAGAUUGCAUUGCAUCUGAUCCAUGGUCAUUCUGGAGGCUCUUGCACAGGAGGCAUGUGGCUGCUGCCGGAUCUAAAAGAUAUGAGGUAUGGCCCCCAUGCUCCUGCACUACUUGUAAGUAUAUUCAAAGCAUAAAUUUGUCAAUUUGGGUACUUUUUGUGUUUUAUUGUGUCUAGUGUAAUUUUUCACUUCGUAUUCUUUGAUUGGCUAUUUACUUCUUGAUUUUUGCUAAAUCUAUAGAUUGCAUUCUAAUUUGUGUAACAAAAUUCUUUAGACUUGUGUCUGGUGCCUGUAAUGCUGAGAUAUUCUGAUAUGAUCUAUCCAUUGAGAGGUUGUAUACCGUUAUGGCAGUGGGUGCAACCUUGUGUCUGUUUCAAUGAAUAGGAAUAUAAAAUACACAAUGAUUUAAAGUAAAUAGGGGCCUAAUAUAAACAUAAUUUAAUUUGUAUAAAUAAACUAAAAUAUAGUUAAAGAAAGUAAUUUCCUUUGGAACUAAUGUAGUUUGUGGAUGUGCGCGUAACCUUAUUUUAAUUUCAUGAAAUUGUUGUCCAGCACUUUUGAACAGCUGUCUUCAGGUUCCUUCGAUAGACUAUUUUUGUGUUGUAUCUGUUGGCUUAAAAAAUAACUGGAUAUGUUCUUUUGGAAAGUGUUACUUGUGCAGGUGUGUUUUUAUUUUCUUGACUUUCCAAUACGUUGGUUUUCUUACCACCCAAUCAUCUGUCUCAACCUUCUUAUCUUCAGUAUGCGGGAAUGGUUUUUUUGUUCAUCUAUAAAGAAUAGCUGCUCUAUUAAAAUUUCUAAUUUCUCUGUUAGCUUAUUUGGUAUUCUUUUAUCACAAAGGAUAUCAUUGGCUUGUGUUUCGUUUGUCCAUUUGGUUAUGAUUCAUCCUUUUAUUUCUGCCAUUUUUCAUCAUUCAAUUUAAAAGAACUUGAAAAGGUCAAAGACUAGUUUUGUUUUUAAUCAAAAUCAAGAGACUAAGAUGAUGUGAACCCUUGAAACCAUAAGAAACUUGCAUAUGACCUACAGCCGUUCAAAUAACUCAAGAAAAUAACAUAAAAAGACAAAAUCCCAACUAAUAGGCAGCUAGAGUUCUGGUACAGUACCCCAAAAAUCCAUAAAAUUGUCAUCUGCUAUACUGUUGGGGGGCGUGCUACUUGGUGUGUCAUUUUGUCCCAUGGAAUAUGUACGUAUGAUAUCUGUUAGGCAGGUGUUUCUGCACCCAACAACAUUCAAGGAUCCAUAAAAUUUGAUUUAUUUAGCAAUUGGCACAUAUGUUCCAGAGUGGAAAAUGUUAAGAGUAGGACGCCUGCAGGCUGUCCCCAAGGCAACCGAUUGAAAUUCAGUGGUAGGAUUCCCAAGGGGUGGGGGGAACAGUAUUUGGCUUGGAUUGCUUUUAUUUUGAUUAUAUGUGGGGAAGAAACUUUGUAACUCUUGAGAUCUGGAGAGCAGUGGCAUACUCAUCCAAUGGGUCUUUUGCCAAAUUCAUAGAAAAUGAGGCGUGUUUUAAUCAAUUGCAGGCUCUGUUUCUUUUUGGUGAUGGGCUUAUUAGAUUUUAAAAAAAGCUACUACUGUGUGUCCAUUUCUGACCUAAAUAUUGUAACUUGUUAUAUGCCUUGUCCAUUGUUUUCAAUUAUUACUUUUCAGUAGGAGCUUUUGGAGUCAUUGAUAAACCCGAUUGUUGCAUCAGAAACGGGUGUUUAGCUUAUGGUGUAAUGAUGUGGAUUGGUGUAGAUAGUAAUUUUGUUCUUGAAAAUCAUAAACAUAUGCUGGUCUAAUAAAUAACAGAUGUAUUCUUGUUCUUGUUCCAUUUGUAUCC